rnacentral:rRNA from 1 species
CCUACGGGGGGCAGCAGUGGGGGAUAUUGCACAAUGGGGGAAACCCUGAUGCAGCGACGCCGCGUGUGGGAAGACGGUCUUCUGGAUUGUAAACCACUGUCCCCAGGGACGAAAAUGACGGUACCUGGGGAGGAAGCUCCGGCUAACCACGUGCCAGCAGCCGCGGUAAUACGGAGGGAGCAAGCGUUGUCCGGAAUUACUGGGUGAAAAGGGAGCGUAGGCGGGGAUGCAAGUUGGGUGUCAAAACUACCGGCUCAACCCAUAGUCGCACUCAAAACUACAACUCUUGAGUGAAGUAGAGGCAGGCGGAAUUCCUAGUGUAGCGGUGAAAUGCGUAGAUAUUAGGAGGAACACCAGUGGCGAAGGCGGCCUGCUGGGCUUUUACUGACGCUGAGGCUCGAAAGUGUGGGGAGCAAACAGGAUUAGAUACCCGAGUAGUC